rnacentral:lncRNA from 1 species
AUGUCAUAUGAAAGAAGACAGACCCACGCAAGUCUAUUCUAUAUGAUUCUAUUUACAUGGAGCUUAACAUCAGACGAAACUAGUGGAUGGGAUUUUUUUUUUAAAGGGCCGCACCUGUGGGAUCAAACCCACAUCCUCAUGGAUACCAGUCGGAUUGCUUUCCACUGCGCCACAACGGGAACUCCUGGACUUUGCUCUUUUCUUUGCUGCCUUAGAGAUUCCUCUUAGCCACGUUGGGCGAUUAUUAGUUACUUCCCAGUUUACUGAGUCAGAUAAUGAAGACUUCCCAAAGCCAAUCCACACUCGGGGGAUCUUACCAGGAAACCACCCUUUGGUCUUUCGUUUAGUUUAUACUUUCUGAGUCAGAGCUCCCAAUUUGCCUUCUACUGGGAAGGGUCCAAUCUGACCUUUUAAAUGUUUCAAGCACAGCAUCUGACUUUGUUUCACACCCUCAUUGGCAGGAGUCAAGCAAGCCCCUCCUCAGCUGUAAAGGCAGAAUGUCAAAAAGCACAUUCUGACAAUGUGUGAACGCACACACCCCCUGAGCAAAGAGAAAGCCUUGUCGUCCUUGUCUUUAACAGCCAACAUAAUAAUAACUUCAGCUUCCCUGUAAAAGCACCAUUAGCUACAGCCCACAAACCUAAGGGAAAAAAAAAAUCCUCGAAGGUGAAUUCCCCCCACCUUCACCCCUGCCUCUUCUACUACUUAAAAUACACCCAAUUGUUGAAAAGGGGUCUUAAUAUGCCAAACUUUUUUUUUUUUUUUUUUUGCCUCUUCUAGGGCCGCACCUACGGCACACGGAGGUUCCCAGGUUAAGGGGUCGAAUCAAAGCUGUAGCCGCCGGCCUACACCACCGCCACAGCAACGCAGGAUCCGAGCCGCGUCUGCGACUGCUCAUGGCAACGCCAGAUCCUUCACCCAGCGAGGCCAGGGAUCGAACCCGCAACCUCAUGGUUCCUAGCCAGAUUCGUUAACCACUGCGCCAUGACGGGAACGCCCAAACUUUCUAUUUUAAUGAUGACCAAAGGCAAGUUCUUUUGAAUUGUGUCACAGUGAAAAACUUUGUGAACUUGAGAACCCGAUCGUCUUUCUUUUUCUUAUUAAACCCAUCGUUAGUUGAGUCAGGUAGGUGAAUUAUAAAGGUACCUCUUGGACGUUGGGCUUGGAAAAGCGGCAAGGUAGGAGGAGAAAAAUGACAAGAUGGUUACAAACAGAAGCAAUGGUUUAAAAGAAGCUGCCAAAUGCAUCAGUAUUCUGAUAAAUGAGACAUCAGGUCACCAACGAGACACAGUGGUGGUGAAACACAGCUCUUAUUAGGUUGGCUCAACAGGGUGACUUUGCUAACAGUGACCCCAGUUAAAUUCUUCAGAACCAUUUUUACGCAGACUCAGGAAAAGUGUUUUUAAAAGCAAGUAUCAAGCAACAACCGGUUCGAGGCAAAGCCCCGCCGUCACCAUGGAAACACGGUGCCUCUCUUGUUUAGAGCAAUAAAAACUCAUGCAGUAGAAAGACA